rnacentral:rRNA from 1 species
ACAGCAGUCGCCACGGUAAUACGGAGGGUGCAAGCGUUAAUCGGAAUUACUGGGCGUAAAGCGCACGCAGGCGGUUUGUUAAGUCAGAUGUGAAAUCCCCGAGCUUAACUUGGGAACUGCAUUUGAAACUGGCAAGCUAGAGUCUUGUGGAGGGGGGUAGAAUUCCAGGUGUAGCGGUGAAAUGCGUAGAGAUCUGGAGGAAUACCGGUGGCGAAGGCGGCCCCCUGGACAAAGACUGACGCUCAGGUGCGAAAGCGUGGGGAGCAAACAGGAUUAGAUACCCCUGUAGUCCCUGUCUCUUAUAU